AAAAAAAAAAAAACUCGGACAGUCGCAGUUAGCGUCGAUGAUAUCGGAAUACGACACCCGAGGACAAAGAAUAAUUCACGCUUUGAAGAUAUCUUCGGCUUUGUAGUGAUAAAUCGAGGAUGUUAGUGAUAGACGAAAUCAAUGUGACAGCAACCAACGAAGGAGAAGUAUACGGAUAAUCAUGUUGGAAGGACUAUCGGUGAUAGUAUUCCGUCGGGAGUGCGAAAAUAUCUUGCCGCGUGCGAGGCCUGGUAGUCGGUGGUGAGAUAUCGACCGUAGCUGCCGAAUUAAUCGUCGAAGGUCGCAGAGCACUGCCUCGCUUCGCUGUCCUUCGCUUCGCAUCGGAUGAUCCGACAAUCUCGAAAUCUGUGAUCCGCACGAAGGACAAGUCCGAUGACCGACAAUCAUGGUCAGACGUAGAUCCUUGAGCGAUACCUGUCAGCCUACCGAUCGCGCAAAAUCACAAAGUACCUUGUUUUCCCAGUUCAAGCUCUCUCUACCUGCUGAUGCCCGUGACGGUAUAGAGCAAACAAUCUAAUGGCGAUUUCUAUAAAAGCGUUACAUGCAUUUAUCAGCAGUCGUCGCAACUGUUUGGCAAUAAAUACAGCUUGUGUAUAAAAGGUGGAGGAUGAAAUUGUCCUCGUGCGUCUAACUCAAGCCUGUUCAAACAUAUUCGUCAUAAUUGGCAACCAGAAAACCAGUUGCCAAGUCAUGUAACGUGCUUCGUGGAACCUGCAAUUGUUAAAAUCGAUCGUUACAAUCAUUAUAAUCGUUAAAAUCGAUUUCCGCGUUAACACGAAAUUGUUAUAUUUAUAAACAAUCGUUCGCUACCGAUUGUUCGAAGUAAGCUAUUGUUCAAGUUUCUCGUGUUUUGGCAAUAGUGUUUGCACUUAAAUUAUCCAGUCGGUCGGACAGAUCGAACUCGCGCCGGGUCUAAGGACUUCGACCGCUACGCUCCCUCACUGUUUCGAGGCUGCGCGUGAAGGAAACGCGUGGUUGAAUCGAAGCGACCCUCUCCGAACGAGACCUACUGACCUAUCGACUCGGCGGGCUGCCACUCGAGGCCGCCCCAACUAUCCCUGUUUCAUAUUUUUCUCCCUGAUGUUUAUUGUUGUUACUCCUUUCUUCCUAACCCAGCCUGCAGUUCGAUUUUUCCUAUUUUUUAACACACCAAAAAAGUUAAUCACUUUAUUCAUGAGUACACAAAUUUUCCUUUAAAUGCUCUAAAUAAAAGAGAUCAACUUCAAAAGUUUCCAAUAGUACACAGCGAUAUUAAACGGUUUUCCAAAAUCCGUCUUUUUUUAUUUUUUAUUGCGUUUUAUCAAAUUACUUUUGCAUCGUGUUUUGAAACUGACGAAUCAAAUAGAUUAUAUCUCACGAAGAUGAAUCGAAACAAAUAUUUAUUUGUUGAAAAAUCAAUCAAAGACAGAUAUGUCAAGAUUGAGAUCAAAAUUCUAUCGGACGUCGAUGCAUUAUAUCAAUGUGUUGUAAAACUGUGACGUAAGAACCGUUAAUAACGAACAUGAUAAAAUAAACAACAAUAUCCGAUAAAAUAAACAACAAUAUCCGAUAAAAUACAAGCAACAAAAUUGAGAAGCACGAAAGAUUAAGAAGAGCAAAAAUAGUACGAAACGUUCACGCUUUAAGAGAAAAAGAAGCUUAAAAGAGUUCAUUUUUUUAAAUAUUCAAAUGAUGGUUCCGGUGAUUAUAAGAAGAUGCAAAUAAAUCUAUAUUGAACCGCAAUAAACACGUGAAUAUUUACAUAUGGACAAGCAUAUAAUGGGAUAGAAAUCUAAACCAAGUACUCGAGUGAUCUCGAAAUCGACUGUAGAUUGUACGAACAAUUCGUCUCGUUGCUGGCCUCGGCGCAACGCAACGACAACGACGCUGUCUUCGGCAGUAACAUCAAACGUAGAAAUGCCAUAGUUCGUAUUAAAGUACUUUUGCUGGAAGCAAACACACACAUUCGCGUGAAAAAUGGCUGAAAGCGCGGCGAGUCCAGGCACCGUACACGUCGCUGCGAACAGUCCGCAGCAACAGCAACAACCGCAACAGCAACAAUCGCAACAGCCUCAGCAGCAGCAACAGCAGACGCAACAGCCUCCGGAUAUAAGCAGUUCACAGCUGACUUCUCCGCCAAUUACGGGAACAGCCCAGAUCGAGAUAAUCCCGUGCAAGGUGUGCGGGGACAAGAGCAGCGGCGUGCAUUACGGCGUGAUCACCUGCGAGGGCUGCAAGGGCUUCUUCAGGCGGUCGCAGUCGUCGGUCGUCAACUAUCAAUGUCCGCGGAACAAGAAUUGUGUGGUCGACCGUGUAAACAGAAACCGGUGCCAGUACUGUCGGUUGCAAAAGUGCCUACGCCUCGGCAUGUCAAGAGAUGCCGUUAAAUUUGGGCGCAUGUCGAAAAAACAACGGGAAAAAGUCGAGGACGAGGUCAGAUUUCAUAGGGCGCAAAUGAGAGCGGCCUCGGAAACAGCGCCGGACAGCAGCGUGUUCGAGCAUCAGACGCCAAGCAGUUCGGAUCAACACCACCCCUACAAUGGCGGGUAUACGUACGGCGGUAGUGAGUACACGUCGUCAGGGCCCGGCACCGGCGGUUACACGAAUUACAAUCAUCAGGCGAUGACGAAUUAUGAGCUUAGCGCCGACUACGUCGACAGCACGACGACCUAUGAUCCUAGACCGACGCAAACGCAGGUCGCGGACACCGUCGCGCCCGACACACCCUCGGCCGUCACUGCGACCGGGGUGCUGCCCAGCGUGGUCACCACCGGGAAGUCUCUGUCCGCCUCGACGACUGGGAGCGGCGCGGGGGGUGGCGGUGCCGGUGGCGGUAGCGGAGGCGGCGGCGGCGGCGGUAGUGGUGGUGGUGGUAACGGUGGUAGCGGUGCUGGUAGCGGUAGUGGUAGUGGUAGCGGCGGCGGCGGCGGCGGCGGUGGUUCAGCCGCGGCCGCCGGCGGGGCUGCCGGAGGUGGAGGCGGCGGUGGCGGCAGCGGUUCGUUGAGCGGCGGCGGGAUCGUUGCCGUGAAGCAAGAGACCACCGUCGAGCUCGCCGGCCUGAGCCACGGCUCGUACACGAUGGUCGACUCGACGACCUUCCUGAGCAGCCAACAGCAGAGGGUCAGCAACCCAUCCGAAGACGACGAAGUACCGAGUCUGCCCAGUAUGUCCCAUGUGAUGAGAUAUCCGGCACAGAUCAGCGAGCUUCUCUCGAAAACGAUAGCGGACGCGCACGCAAGGACAUGCCUGGUGUCGACGGAACAGAUCCAGGAGUCCUUCCGGAAGCCCACCGACAUCUCCAGAAUGAUCUACUACAAGAACAUGGCGCACGAGCAGCUUUGGCUGGAGUGCGCUCAGAAAUUGACUACCGUCAUCCAGCAGAUCAUCGAGUUCGCCAAAAUGGUCCCCGGAUUCAUGAAGCUUUCGCAAGACGACCAGAUUGUUUUGUUAAAAGCCGGUUCCUUCGAGUUGGCUGUGCUACGAAUGAGCAGGUACCUCGAUCUCCAGCAAAACUGCGUCCUGUAUGGUGACACCUUGCUGCCGCAGGAGGCGUUUUAUACGACGGAUACGGCGGAAAUGAAGCUUGUUUCCUGCGUGUUCGAGCUGGCCAGAAGCAUCGCCGAACUGAAGCUCACUGAAACCGAGUUGGCGCUCUAUAGCGCGGCUGUUCUACUUAGCCCUGAUCGACCGGGACUGAAGUGCCUGGGCGACAUCAAUAGGCUGUCGCAGGCGGUGAUCAGGGCACUGAGGUCGGAACUCGAUCGAAAUCACGUGACGCCGAUCAAGGGCGAUGUGACGGUGUGCGACGCGAUUCUCGCAAAGAUACCGCAGCUACGGGAGAUCUCGCUGCUGCACAUGGACGCACUGGCAAAGUUCAAGCGAUCGCAGCCGCAUCUCGAGUUCCCGGCCCUCCACAAGGAGCUCUUCAGUGUCGACAGCUGAACGAGCGAUGCGGCGCGGAGCGUCGUCCAGGCGCUGCCGAGCGGACAGGAGCGCGAGUAGUGUCGCGGACCUUGCUCGGUCAAGAUUAUUUCCUUCGUAAUGAACGUAUUGGGCCUUAAAUAAACAUAACAUUGUUAUAUAUAAAGUAUACAUAAAAAGCAACAUAAAGUAUAUAUACAGAAGAAAUAUAUAUAUAUAUAUAUAAAUAUAAAUAUAAAUAUAUACAUAGUGUGGAUGCGUAUGUGCAUACAGGCGCGCACGAUACGUCUCACCGACGCAAAAGUGUAUACACAUACGCGUGUCGUUAUAAGAUUAUAUUACAUAGAUGGAGAAAUCGCGGAUGCGUGCGAAAACGAGCGAGCGAGAGCGAUAGAAUGUGAGUAUGUGAGUAUGAGAAGUGAAACAAAACGAGUACGAGUGCACGAUCGGAGAGAGAGAACUGAAAUAUCGGUUGUUACGAUACAUACAUAAAGUAUAUAUUGUAUUAACUAAAAAAAUAGUGGAGAGGGAGGAGAGGGGGAGAGGAGAAUGGUGAUUAACCGAGUCUCGCCAGGAUGGUCCGAGGACGACGUAAAUAUAAUAAUAAUAAUAAUAAUAAUAUUAAUAAUAAUAUUAAUAAUAAUAAUAAUAAUAAUUAUAAUAAUUAUAAUAAUUAUAAUAUACUUGAGGAUUCGUUUCAUGAGAAGAGAAUCUCGAUCGGGUCGCUCACGCGACAGAUAGAGACCGAUAUUAUCGCACCGUUGAACACGAGAGCACGAGAGCGGGCGAACUGAGCAAAUAACGUCGACGAAGGGUAGAGCUUAUUGCAGAGGGCGAGGAAACAUGGAACCAUGCCGAAGUUAGGUGUAAUUAAGCGCGAUAAUGAUAAUGAUGGAAGUGUCUUUAUCACGUUUCAGAGUUUUCUCCUCGAACUUUCGCUCGAUCGUCUUCUCCGUUUUAUUUUUAUCUUGCUUUUUGUUAUUAAUUGCUGUUUUUAUAAAUAUAUAUUAAUCGUUAAUUGCAGACAGGGAAUAAAAUUUAUUGCAGAAGAAAUUUGCACGCGUAAUAUAUGAUGAUGUAAAAAGUAAAAGUUUUAUAAUAAAUAAAGGCGUGAACACAAUUUAAAAACAUGUGAUGAAAAUUGUUAGAAUUACUCGUGAAAACUGAGAAAUGAAGCAAAGUAUAAAAAAUCUGAAUAAUAAAUGUUGAUGAGAACAAAUAAAUAAGGAAAUAAGAGAGUUGAUCGAAUUUGAAAAGACGAUAAAGGUGAUAGAGCUGAUAAAUAUCUAUCAGUCGUCAUUAUUGUGAUUAGCUUGUACGAGCCGCGAGACGAUCGAAACUUCUCUCCGUUCGUAGAGCCGGUAAAAGAGGCGUUUGUUCGCUAAAUAUUCAAUGAACACACAGAUAUUGAAUGAGUUGAAUGAACGAUAUGAUUAAAGGAGUAAGUAUAUGAUAAAGCACUUCUUCUAUUUAAAGAUACGACAGAGUUUCAUCUAGAUGUUCUCUUAAUCGCGCGCGCAUCGUCAUAUUAACGUGUAUUAUAUAAUCUACUCAAUACGGAAAAUUUCUUUCGAUUUAGCAGGAACGUUCAGCGAAUAAACGCAUUCUCUUUUACCAGUAAUUAGCUUAAAUGCAAAACGUCGGCAACGGUCACGCGUUCUGCCGCCGUCGCGACUUCGAGUAGUGAUUUGAGUGUAGUUCUGAGCUACUUUAGCAUAAAAAUACAUAUAUAAAUAAAUAAAUAAAACUAUAUAAAUAUAUAAAUAAAUAUAUAUAAACGCUAUAUAUAUAUGAGAGUAUAUAUAUAUAUAUUUCGGCGGAACGAUCGAGAUUCGACGAUCCUCUAUUAAUGAGAACGACGAGCGUUGUAGAAAGGAAUUUCGUCCCUGGACCAACCUGACCGGAUCUCACGGAUAACGGUGACACGUGACACGCUCACAAGCCCACACAUACAUGCAUAACAUAUAUACUUACAUGCAUACACACACGCAAAGGCAGACAGAGAGAAAGAAAGGGAAUGAAAGGGAAGAAAGAAAGAGAGAAUGAAAGUGAAGAGCGAGCGAGAGAGAAAUGAUUAUAUGAAUCAACGCGCGGAUGCGACUUUCACGGAUGCAGACGUAGAUAGAGCUAAUCGAUCGCAUUACGCGCGCGCAUUAAAAACGUUUUUGGUACUGUACGGCACUUGUAUGAUGCGUCUCUUUAUACGUAAAAAAAAAAACCCGUACUUCAUAUGGAUAAAAAAAAAAGAAAAAAAGAUACAAUAGCUCGUCGUCGCGCGCUGAGACACCCUUACGAAGCGUUUAUAUACGCACCGUCAUCGGCUUUCCUCGCUGUCGUCGAUCGAAGAUUAAGACGAAGAUCGGGAAGAAUUUAAUAACGGUUCGCCGACACUUUCGCGACUGCCGCGUAUUUUUAGAUGAAAAUUACAUCGUUGGGUGCUGGGCCGAUUAAAAAAGUAUUCGUACGCCUUCGCGUCGCUGCUAAAAGUAUAAAAUUAUGUUGUUAAGAGACAGAAAUUGAAAAAAAAAAAGUAUUCGUACGUCAUCAUUUUUUUUUGCUAUAAAUAACAGUACGUUGUUAAGAAGCAAGCUGAAAUACUAAAAGUAAUAUUUGUAAGCUCUACACUUUUGCUUUUAUUAUUAAAUAUCUUUAACUUGUUAUGACGCGAUAAACUCUCUAAGCAUCUUUUAAAGAUAUAUAGCUCGUAAUGUAGAUUUAAUGAUCAUGUGAAAUAUACAUAUACAUAGGAUACAACAUUUUUAUUUAAAAGUUACUUAUAGCGUUGACGUGCGAAUACUAAUCGUCUCAUUGUAUAGUGAAGUUUGUUUAAGGCAAGUUAAAAAUUAUUGCAGCUAAUUAUGUAAACCCUAAACGGUAUAAGCGGGGUCUGACAGACCGUUUUUAAUUACAAGACGUUAUAGAACCUUUAUAGCACUAUUAUUAUUUGUUUGUAUUUAUAAAGUUUAAUAUAAAUGAAUAAAAUCUAAUUUCCAUAAUGUA